rnacentral:rRNA from 1 species
AACGAACGCUGGCGGCAUGCCUAACACAUGCAAGUCGAACGAGACCUUCGGGUCUAGUGUCGCACGGGUGCGUAACGCGUGGGAACCUGCCCUUAGGUUCGGAAUAACUCCCCGAAAGGGGUGCUAAUACCAGAUAAUGUCUUCGGACCAAAGAUUUAUCGCCUUUGGAUGGGCCCGCGUUGGAUUAGCUAGUUGGUAUGUUAAAAGCCUACCAAGGCGACGAUCCAUAGCUGGUCUGAGAGGAUGAUCAGCCACACUGGGACUGAGACACGGCCCAGACUUCUAGGGGAGGCAGAAGUGGGGAAUAUGGGACAAUGGGAGAAAGCCUGAUCCACCAAUGACGCGUGAGAGAAGAAGGAAGUAGGGUUGUAAAGCUCUUUUACCCGGGAUGAUAAUGACAGUAACGGGAGAAUAAGAUCAGGCUAACUCCGUG